rnacentral:rRNA from 1 species
AUUGAACGCUGGCGGCAGGCCUAACACAUGCAAGUCGAACGCAGUUGCGAACGGGUGAGUAACGCGUAGGUAACCGCCUCAUAGCGGGGGAUAACUAUUGGAAACGAUAGCUAAUACCGCAUUCUGUGAGAUGGACCUGCGUUGUAUUAGCUAGUUGGUGAGGUAAAGGCUCACCAAGGCGACGAUACAUAGCCGAGCUGAGAGGGUGAUCGGCCACACUGGGACUGGGACACGGACCAGACUCCUACGGGAGGCAGCAGUAGGGGAUCUUGGGCAAUGGAGGGAAGGCUGACCGAGCAACGCCGCGUGAGGGGAGGAGGUUGUAGGGUCGUAAAGCUGUGUUGUUGGAGGAGCGGAGACUAACCAGAAAGGGGCGGCUAACUACGUGGCAGCAGCCGCGGUAAUAC